rnacentral:sRNA from 1 species
GACAUGGAUCAGUAUUGUUUAGAUCUGGCUCACCAGAUUCUACAGCAAAUUUUCACCGCUUGCAGCAUUUAUAAAGCACUUGUUUUGGAGGCAGGCAGACCGUGGACUGCGAAUUUGCCCAUUCGACCCUCUCUACCUUUGCUUUUUAGAAGUACAUACAUACAAUGGUAAACGCAGUCUAUUUGAGAGAAUACUCCAUCAAUGGCACAACGGCACAAUCCGUCCAAUUAAUUGCUCCUUUCCCGCAGGGCUGAUCGAACAGCAGUCAUAUUGGAGAUAUGUAUCCAAUAGCACGCGGGUAGAUAGAGAUUUCUGUGCGUACGGAGCAGCUGUUGAUUACCCCUGAAGCCGUGCAGCUCCUGUCUAAGAAGCAGUGGCCCUCGCGAUGACCCCGGAAGUCACCUCUAUAUAAAUCACAC